UAUGGCAUGAACAUUGCCAGACUUCUCAAGUGUCUUGCUUCUCACUGGUGUCUCUGAUUUCACAUUAAAAUCCCCCUUUGUCCCUCCUCAGUCCCUGCUGAUGACCCUUAUUAACCAGAAGGAUUUCUACAGCUGAAAAGCUUAUCAGGUUAGAAAAGGGCAUGUUACAAAAACGUGGUUUUAUCAGAACUUAAAGUAACCAUCACGAUAAAGAAAGAAAAGCCUGUGGUGUUGCACUGGGCUGCAUAAAGAUAAGCAUGCCGUAAGUUAGCUGACUUUUUCUUAGUAUUUUUUCUGCUAUGGCGGGAUGAAGCGUUAGGAAGCAUUUAAGUUUUACUCCACUGAAGGGCAUGAACUCUGCGCAGUAUCCUGCUUACCUAGCACUUGACUGAACCUUCAUGUCAUCAGAUGUGUGAAGACCAUUAUCAAUAUGCCUUGCGGAUUAUUGGUACUAUAUGAAUACCAGGAAGAAACUAUGAUGUUCUUACAUGGCCUGCAUAUCAGCUGCUGUGAAAUAGUGAAUACAGUCAGACCUUCUGACCAUUGCAAAUGUAGCUUGUGAUGUGAAGGAUGCCUCCUUGCACUUACCAGUGAAACAGGUGAAGAACCAACCAUCUUCUGUGAGCACUUUUUGGCUUCAGGGCACGGGGCGAUACAGAAGCAGCACAAUGAAGCAGGAAGUUACAAGACCAGAUGAUAAGGUCAGGCUUUGCUUUUUAACAACGAAAAAGAAGUCGGAACAGGUAUUGACUUCACAAUGAUGCGGAUCAGGUUUGUGUACUCAUGCAGACAUAAAUGAGAAUUCAAAGCCAGACACCAUCUCACAGAGGGAAGAAAUGGAAAAUUAAACCUCUCAUUAUUGCAUUGGAAAUUAUAGGAUUAUAUCACCCAUAGCAUGUAACAAAUGUUGUAGCCAGCUUUGCUGAGUGGAUUUGCAAGACUCUUUGGAAACUAGAAAUUUAGAAAUACUAGUUAAAGAAAGAAAUAGUAAUUGCAAGCUACUUUUUAUCUUUGUGAUACAUGUAUAACUUAGAGCUUUCUUAAAAGGAGAGUUAUCUCUCCAGCCUCAUCUGCUUUUAAAGUUGAUUUCAUUGUGGACUAAAGGAGCAGCUUAAUGAAGACCAUAUCCUUUAAACAUCUGCAUCCAUUUGAUCAGUAGACCAUAAACCUGUGUUUCCCUUAGGUGUUUUUGACCUGACUCUAUCCUUACUGGCUUCACUUGCAGCAGAGAUUUAAUUCACAGUGUUUAAUUUUCAAUUCUUAAUACUCAUCUAUGCUGUCUGUUUAUGUAACAAACAUUUAAUAUUAAUCUAAUUCAACAGAAUGUUGUUUAAAACUGAGGAAGUUCUGAUUUUUUUCUACUGCUAUCAUAAAUUGUCCUAAAAAACCCAGAACAUUAUAUAAGAAAGAAAAAAAACCCAACAGUGGCAUUUAGAGCUUACCACUGAGCAUCACACAAGCUGUCAAACAUUUGUCUUUGACUUCUUGACACAAUAAAAAAAGACUUAAAGAUUUUUUUUUUCCUUUGGCACUUACAAAUAUCCUGGAGUUUAUGUGUGUUUCUGAGGAAAAGAAGAACUUGACCUAAGUGGUUACUUUUACUAUUUUGGAUUCUUAUCCAUUACAAAUGUGAGUGCUUCCAAACGCGAUGGGCCAUGGAGUGUAGCCCUGUCCAGGCAGGGUAUGUGUGUUCAGGUUUCUCGGGCAUCCGUGAUCAGUGAAUGGAAGGAAUUGUUAAACCGUACUAAAUGAGAACAAAAGCCCCAGUGAAGUAUUCCCUUACUCAGAGGCAGCUUUCUGUUUCAAUCUCCUUAUUCAAUUACAUCAUGGGAUAAUAUGCAUGAGACAUUGAGCCAGAAUCACUUUAAUCAAAUAAAGAAACUGAAAAGCACUUCUACUCUCAGUAUCAUUUUAUUGAGAUUAAUACUGUUAUUGUCUACAGUGUCCAUAUCAAAGCAUCUGGAUUGAUUUAAUCAUUUCAGGCAAGGUUACAGAGAGUAUCCUCAGUACGUGUCCAUCAGCAUAUCUUUAUGGAGAUCAGUGCCCUCUUACUGGUUUACAUCAGCCCAGGGUUUACCUGGUAACUUCAGACCCCAGCCCAAUUGGUAAGUUUCUGGAUGAACUCUGACUCACUAUUCAAUAAUCAUGAAAGGGAGCACCGUUAUUUGAAAAGAAGUGGUAUAUACUGUUUCCCAUGUGAGACCUGUCUGCUUUUUACCAGGUGAGAGGUGGCAAGAGGCUCUGUCAUUGCCCUUGCCCUCUAGGGCUCUGUUGGUGCCUCUGCUGCCAGCGCAAGACAGGACCUGUUUCCAGGCUCGGGGAACACAGAGGGCUGCCAAGAGCUGGUGACUGCCAAGGACCAUUAAAUAUUGAAUCUCAACAAGCUAUGUCUCCUUUAAGUGAUUCCAUUAGAAGACAUCUGCAGAGGAUACCUGCUGACUGUUCCUCCGCUGCAGCAGGGAAAUCUUGUGCGGAUAUAAAACUGGGAUAGCAGCAUCUCCCUCUGGGCUUUC